rnacentral:lncRNA from 1 species
AUUCUAAACUAAAUUAGUAUUAUAUAUAGAGUUACUUUAGCAUGAAGUGCUUGAAAAUUUGGAAGAGUUCUGCUAUUUACCCCGGGUCAAACCCCGAAUUAAACCAAAACGACGCCGUUUUGGUUUUUUUUUUUUUUUCUUUUUGCUUCCAUGAAACGUAAUCGUUUUAGCCAAACAAAAACAAAUGUCUUUGUUUUCGUCUUCCUCUCCUCUUCGUUUCACCAGCCGUUUCAGUCAACCGAAAGCAAACAUUUAUGACGGCUGAAUGGAUUGGUCCCCUUUUAGAGUUGUUUGCACAUUUGGGUUUAUUACUUUGUUAGCUUGAGUUUAGUAGUUAAGGAAGGAUAUUAAUAAUUAAUGCUCUGCCGUUUGGUAUGGUUUCCUUUCUUUUUUUUUUUCAAGUCGCUAAAAGAGUUUUUUUUUUUUUAAAACUUCAAAUGCUCUGAUUCAGAACUAAACAAUUAUAAGCUCGAUUUGAAACAGUUCCAUUUGAUAAAGCAUACCAAACUGAGCCUAAGCAACCUGUAGAUUGCUCGAACAUCAUUGAAGGUGAGACACCAACGACUCGGCGUUUAUUGAAUCAUAAAGAACGAAUAAAAGCUGGCCAAAAAUAUUCUGAUGCAUUUUUCCUGUAGAUCACUUUUCACUCUUGUCUUAUUGGUAGAUUUGUAAUGAAGGUUUGUCCAUUUUUCCUGUAAAUUAGAAUAUUGGUUAAAAUUGAUUUUCUUUUAGCCAAAUUUAUAACUAGUUUUUAUCAUGGGCAAAAACAUUCUUAUCUUAUUUUGGAAUAAUGAAUCUUUAUAUCUUUUUUUUUUUUGGGGCUCUGCCGAAAUAUCGAAUAAUGAAUAUGAAAUUAUGAUAAAUACUAAAAAAUUAACAUUAUCACAUAAAUAAUGAAUCAUCUGUUGGUUCAUUUAUCUGAUGUUUCUUCGGCUAGUGAAACGAAGAGGAGAGGAAGACGAAAACAAAGACAUUUGCUUUUGUUUGGCUAAAACGACUACGUUUCAUAGAAGUAAAAAAAAAAAAAUCAAAAUAGUGUCGUUUUGGUUUAAUUCGGGGUUUGACCGGAAGAAAGUAACAUUUUUCAAUUUAAAAUUCCACACGUAGGAGAAUUUUUAGAAGACAAUUAUAUAAUUUAUAAUUACACAUUAAUCAUCGGGUUGUAGAGAUCACAAUUCAACAGGGUGAUUUCGAAUCUCUAUUUUUGGCACGCUGUAGAAUCAUACACGUUUGGAGACGAAGCCCCAAACCCACGGCCUCGCCCUCCUCUCCACUUUUCACAUAUAAAUAAUAAAUUAUACAAAUAGGGUAUGUAAUCGUAGCAUAGCUAGUGCCGAAGCACGUGAGCCGCACGCUGCCGUGAUCUUAUGAAUUCAAUGCCACCUCAGAUUACGCGCCUUAACCGCCGCAGUUGCCAGCACGUGAGUCCCCCGAGCGAGCUGACGCGGUAACCCAUUCAACCUUCUUUCACUUUUAACAGUGUCUCCUGCCCUUUUUAGACUCCCAGUCCCAGUCAGGCAGCUUAGUUGUUCACCACUAACAUAAUUUAACAAUUAUAUUUUAAAAAUAUUUCCAGAUUUCUUUUUAAAGUUACAUUUAGGAAUCAUUUAGGAUUACUUUUUAA